UCCGGAGGAUGCAAGCGUUAUCCGGAAGUAUUGGGCGUAAAGCGUCCGCAGGUGGCUGUGUAAGUCUGCUGUCAAAGAGCGAAGCUCAACUUCGUAAAGGCAGUGGAAACUACACGGCUAGAGUGCGUUCGGGGCAGAGGGAAUUCCUGGUGUAGCGGUGAAAUGCGUAGAGAUCAGGAAGAACACCGGUGGCGAAGGCGCUCUGUUAGGCCGCAACUGACACUGAGGGACGAAAGCUAGGGGAGCGAAUGGG
rnacentral:rRNA from 1 species